rnacentral:rRNA from 1 species
AGGGGGUUUGAUCAUGGGGCUCAGAAUCAACGCUGGCGGCGUGCCUAACACAUGCAAGUCAAGCGAGAAAGGGAGCUUCGGUUCCCAAGUAAAGCGGCGGACGGGUGAGUAACACGUGGGUAAUCUGCCCUCGGGUGGGGAAUAACUCAGGGAAACCUGGGCUAAUUCCGCAUGACAUUUCCGAUACUCAAGUAUUGGAAAUCAAAGCUGGGGACCCUUCGGGGCCUGGCGCCUGAGGAGGAGCCCGCGGCCAAUUAGCUUGUUGGUGGGGUAAUGGCCCACCAAGGCUUCGAUUGGUAGCCGGCCUGAGAGGGCGUACGGUCACACUGGGACUGAGACACGGCCCAGACUCCUACGGGAGGCAGCAGUGGGGAAUUUUUGUCAAUGGGGGAAACCCUGAACAAGCAACGCCGCGUUGGAGGACGAAGACCUUCGGGUUGUAAACUCCUGUCGGAGGGGACGAAAGUUUUAGUGGUUAAUACCCAUUAUUAUUGACGGUACCCUACGAGGAAGCCCCGGCUAACUCCGUGCCAGCAGCCGCGGUAAUACGGGGGGGGCAAGCGUUGUUCGGAAUUACUGGGCGUAAAGGGCGCGUAGGCGGACCA